rnacentral:rRNA from 1 species
CCUACGGGAGGCUGCAGUGGGGAAUAUUGGGCAAUGGAGGAAACUCUGACCCAGCAACGCCGCGUGAAUGAUGAAGGUCUUCGGAUUGUAAAGUUCUUUUAUAAAGGAAUAAAGUGAGGCACGUGUGCCUUUUUGUAUGUACUUUAUGAAUAAGGAUCGGCUAACUCCGUGCCAGCAGCCGCGGUAAUACGGAGGAUCCGAGCGUUAUCCGGAUUUAUUGGGUUUAAAGGGAGCGUAGAUGGGUUGUUAAGUCAGUUGUGAAAGUUUGCGGCUCAACCGUAAAAUUGCAAUUGAUACUGGCAGUCUUGAGUACAGUUGAGGUAGGCGGAAUUCGUGGUGUAGCGGUGAAAUGCUUAGAUAUCACGAAGAACUCCGAUUGCGAAGGCAGCUUACUAAACUGCCACUGACAUUGAUGCUCGAAAGUGUGGGUAUCAAACAGGAUUAGAUACCCCGGUAGUC